rnacentral:rRNA from 1 species
GACGAACGCUGGCGGCGUGCUUAACACAUGCAAGUCGAACGAAGUGGGAACGGGUGAGUAAUACGUGGGUAACCUCCCUCCUUUUUGGGAUAAGCCUUGGAAACGGGGUAUAAACCGAAUAGAUGGGCUCGCGGCCUCUCAGCUUGUUGGUGGGGUGAUGGCCUACCAAGGCGGUGACGGGUAGCCGGCCUGAGGGGGUUACCGGCCACAUGGGGACUUGGAUACGGCCCAGGACCCUACGGGAGGCCGCAGUUGGGAAACUUCCGAAAUGGACGAAAGUCUUACGGAGCAACGCCGCGUGAGUGAUGACGGCCUUCGGGUUGUAAAGCUCUGUUAAUCGGGACGCGGUACCGGAAUAGAAAGCCACGGCUAACUACGUGCCAGCAGCCGCGGUAAUUC